GAAGUGCGAUAAGCAAUGCGAAUUGCAGAAUUCAGUGAAUCAUCGAAUCUUUGAACGCACAUUGCGCCCUUUGGUAUUCCUUAGGGCAUGCCUGUUCGAGCGUCAUCUAAACCUUCAAGCCCUGCUUGGUGUUGGGUGCCUGUCCCGCCUCCGCGCGCGGACUCACCUCAAAUCCAUUGGCGGCCCCCGCGUCGGCCACGAGCGCAGCAGAAACGCGAACUCGUGAGCCCGUCCGGGCGGCUCCCAGAAGCUACACCCACCCAGUUUGACCUCGGAUCAGGUAGGGAUACCCGCUGAACUUAAGC
rnacentral:misc_RNA from 1 species